AGACUCUUGAUGCUUUUCAUUACCUUGGUGGAAGAAAAAGAAGGAAUGAAAUGCAAAAGCACAAUGGGAAGACUUUUAAUAGAGUGUCUUCCCAGGUGAAGGAGCAUUACAAGUGCUACAGUCUUCAACAUAAUCUAUGGCUGCUGAACUUAAUAGUCUUCUGUGUGCAUAUCUGAAGAAAUUCUAUGCAUUGGGUCUAAGCCUUUGUGAAUAGACAUGAUUCACGGAGUGACAACUACUGAAAAUGCAGGCUUAGGUGGAAUUCUUCUUCCAAUUAGGUGUACUUGCAUUCUGGGAAGCAGUGGUGCUGGCUACAUAUCCUCAUGGACAAAUGAAAGAACCUUGUACCCCAACCUGGCUCUCAUCACAGGUGAGUACUGUUCCACCAUGGCUUACCACAGUCUAGUCUACAGGUUGUUUUUUUUUUUUUUUUUUAUUGGUGUUCAAUUUACUAACAUACAGAAUAACACCCAGUGCCCGUCACCCAUUCACUCCCACCCCCCGCCCUCCUCCCCUUCUACCACCCCUAGUUCGUUUCCCAGAGUUAGCAGUCUUUACGUUCUGUCUCCCUUUCUGAUAUUUCCCACACAUUUCUUCUCCCUUCCCUU
rnacentral:lncRNA from 1 species